AGGGAUGGAUAAACGAUAAGCAAAGAGAAAAAAGACUAAGUCGAGAUGGAUUGUGUUUAUUUUUUUUAUGGUAAAGGAAGCAGCUCAGGGACAGAUAAACAAAAGGAAAAAGACACAAGGUUGAGAUGGAUGAGUGGCCAGACGAGAGAGUCAGUUUCAGAUGCAGAGGUGUGUUGUAAGUGAAUAAUAUAACAAGGGAGGAGGUCAGACCCUGCUACCCUCUGCACUCCAAGGCAUUGUAAUUAUAUAUAUGUGUACUCUUAAAGGUGUAGUGAAGAUUUGUUGGGCAGAUGAGGUAAAAUUGUCCCGUUAUUUUAUAAGAUGAUGGAAAAGGACCUGGGAAAAGUUGGAAAGUUUCGUUUAAUCGGCGCAACAUCUGUGGUCAUAUGCCGGAGAGAGAAGGGGAAGGAAUUAUAGGGAAGUGAACAGAUCCCAGGAGACGGGACACAACCCCCGAUUAAUACCUGGUACCCAUUCACUGCUGGGUGGACAUGGGUGUAGGGUAUCGGAAAAGCCUAACUUGGGAAGAGGAUAGCUCAGAAAAGUAAGAACGAAUUGCUAUUAGUAACAGUAAAAUCCUGAAACAAAAUGAAAAGAAAAAAAUGCAUGGAAAAGUGUAGGAAGAACAUACUUGACACACACUCAUUCCCUGCCUGGAGAAAAACAAACCAGUGAUAAACACUAAAGAGUCAGAUACAGCUGACUAAAAAGCUGAGAGGAGAGGCUAGAUAAGGUAGUUUUGUAGACAGUGAGAUGAUCUGGACACAUCAAUGAGAGGAUGGGAGGAAAGUUCAAGAAUCAAAACACUAAGGGGGGGUUACAUAAUCUGGGUGAUGGUGAGGUUAUGAGGUUAGCAUACAGGGAUAUAUGACUGUUAAAGAGCAAUGAAAUCAUAAAAAAUAUACAUGUCUAUGGCUGCGAUCACAUGGAGAGACAUGGUGUCCAGUGAAGAGGUGGGACGAUGUGGAUUACAGGAGCAGAGUACGAUGCUGAGAGUACGGAGAGUGAGGUGGUUUGGGCGCUUGAAGAGGAGGGAGGAUAGUGAUCAUGGAGGUAGAAUUGAUGGAGUCGAUACGGCCCGCUAAUCCCAUUCAUUGAAGUGAAGCCGACGAACUGUCAAAUUUACGGCCAAAAGAUGGGGGUGGGCGAGCCUGGCCGAGCCCAUUAAGAGGGAGCCUGACCUGACAACACCUGACACUUGGCCGUAAAAAUGACAUCUCGGGCGGAUUCACUUAAUUGGGCUGAAGUCGACACCACCAAUUCUACCUCCAUGAUAGUGAGAGGGAGAGGUGUUGGGAGUGCAAGAACCAGGUCACCAUCCACCAGGCAGGCCAAGGAAGACGUAGUGUGUUCCUUUACUCCACCCCGCCAUCACAAGCUUUAUCUUCCCCUCUCUUAUUCUCUCUAUUUUUCCUCCCUUCUCUCUCCUUUUCUCCUCUUCCUCCUUCCUCCCUCCCUUCCUUCAUCCCAUCACAAUUGACUCCCAUAUAUAAAAAAAUCAUUGACCGUCUAACCUCAUAAGAGACUGUUGGAAAGCCUGAUGUUAAAUAGUAGAUCAUAAAAAUAAAAAAAGAUUGAAGGGGAAGAAUAUACUGCUGGGGUCAUGUCACUGCUCGGGGUUAAAACGAAGAGGAAAGGAGACGUUUAGGCGUGUGGAAAGGCCAGGAAUUAAUGAACAGAACCAAAGACUAAAUGAAUGAAGAGAGCAUCACUGUACUGCCAGGCUUGGACCAUUGGGGUGAAGCUGGAGAGGUGGAGAUAGGAAGGUAAGGGCAACGAUAACCAAUGACAACAGUAUCGGUAAAAGAUGUAAAGGCGUGUGGUGAGGCCAAGAAAUAAUAAACACAACCAAAGACUAAAUGAAGAGAGCGUCACUGUACUGCCAGGCUUGGACCAUUGGAGUGAGGCUGGAGAGGUGGAGAUAGGGAGGUAAGGGCAACGAUAACCAAUGACAACAGUAUCAGUAAAACAGUAAAAUAAUGAAACAAACAUUAGAGCUGAAGAGGACUUGAGAGAUAUGAUUGUGGGAACGGACAUGAGUCACCCAGCGAGCCUAUCAGUAAACCAAUUAUUAAGCACUGAAGGAAACUUGAAGAUGUGAGUGGGCCGACAGAUAUUAGUCAGAUAGGAGUUAAUUACAGGUGAUAUGGGAGCGUAGAGAAGAUACACCGGCACAAAGAGGAGUGGUUAAUUCAAUAGGAAGAUAAUAGGUGAAGGUAAUGGAGGAGAUAGGUAUAAUGUGCUGAUUGGAAGAUGAAAAGGAGAGAUGAUACACAAGAACAAUACAAGAAUAAGACUGAAGAUGGUGACAAAAUUAGACCCAUACGAGAGGAGUAGGUAAUUGAAUAGCAAGAUAACAGGUAGAGUGAAGAUAAGGGAGGAGAUAUGGUUAAUGUACUGACAGGAAGAUGAAGGGGAAAAAGAAAUGAUACACAAGGAAGCGAAGAGAAUAAGACUGAAGAAGUAAUGUAAGGUUUGUAACAGAGGAAUAGAUAGUUAAAAGUGAAGAUAAGGGAGACGAUACGUGUAAUAUACUGAGAGGAAGAUGGAGAGGACCUAAGAGAUGACACACACACACGAAGAUAAGAGAACAGAGCGAAGGUGAAGUGAGGAUGAGAGGAAGAUAAACGGACUGAUAGGAAGCUGAAUAAGAAAUGAAUCACGUUCGCAGAAAACUGAAUUGAUAGGAAGCUGAAUAAGAAAUGAAUCACGUUCGCAGAAAACUGAAUAACUUGAAGAUGAAGAGGAAAUAGAUGAGGCACACACGAAGAAGAUAAAAAAACAAGUACAAACGUGAAAGGAGGAUGAAAGGAAGAUGAACUGGAUGAUACGAGGAGGAGGAGGAGGAGAAAGAACUUACAUAAAGAAAACUGAAUGACCUAAGAAUGAAAAAGAGGAAAUAGAUGAUGAACACACGAAGAAAAAAGAACAAGUACAAAGGUGAAGUGAGGAUGAAGGAAGAUAAACAGACUGAUAAGCAGAGGAGGAGGAGGAGGAGGAGGAGGAGAAAGAAUUUACACAAAGAAAACUGAAUGACCCAAGAAUGAAGAAGAGGAAGAAUAGAUGAUGCACACACGAAGAAGAUAAAGGCGAAUAGAAGAUGAAGGAAAGAAACAGGCCUGAAAGGAAGAUGAGAAAUAAAUAAAAUACACAAAGAAAACUGAAUAACCAAAGGAAGAUGAAGAGGAAACAAAAGAGAAUCACAAAUAGAAGAUUGAGAAUAAGACUAAAGAUGAAAUAAAGAGGAGGGAAAGAUAAAAAUAGGAAGAUGAGGAAUUGAAGAUAGGGAGAUGAGGAAUAGAAAGAUAGGGAGAUGAGGAAUAGAAAGAUAGAAAGAUGAGGAAUAGAAGAUAGAAAGAUGAGGAAUAGAAAGAUAGAAAGAUGAUGGAUAGAAAAGAUGAUGAAUAGAAAGAUAGGAAGAUAUGAGAAAGAAAUCGAAACAAACACACACAAAAAAAUAGACAUGAACACCAGUCAAAAAAAUGAAGACGAAGGGAAAGGUAAUGUGCUGGCAGAAAAACAAAAAUGAUACACUACAAAUAAAAAGAAGUCUUGGGGAAGAAACAAAAGACGAUCGAGUACAAGGAGGAGGAGGAGGAGGAGGAAGAGAGAUAAGAUGACAAGUAUCGGACUAUCAGACUACAAAUUUACAAAAAGUACUAACUUAUAUCCCUCAAAAAUGACAAAAAGUACUAAUUUAUAUCCCUCAAAAAUGACAAAAAGUACUAAUUUAUAUCCCUCAAAAAUGACAAAAAGUACUAAUUUAUAU